UGAAGACAUACCCUUUAAAGUGUCAGUGGGGUGUCCUGGUCAAAAUGAACUAUUGGGACAAUGUAAUAUUUGAUCAGUAGCUCACAGGAGGUAAGGAAGAGAACUGUGUACAUAUCUAGUGAGAAUCAGGUGAAGAAGGUGGUAAGCCAAAGGGGUUGAGAUGGGGAAGAUUCAGGCAUGUGAGAAGUUUGUAAGGAAGUCACUGUGGCUGGAGUAGAGUGGGAAGCAGAUCAUUUGGAGAAGGAAUAAAGACUGGCAAUGAUGAGCAUGUGGCUACUGUAAAUACCAUUUUGACUCUGAAAAAAAAAUAAAUAAAGGGACUCAUUAUUUAUCACCUUAUUUUGGGAACUCUUGGAGUUUUCAGACCCUUUAUAGACUACUGGCCUCAAGAGCUAAAUUUAUCUUUUUUUGAUCUGCCUUAUGACCGUUAUGGUGAAAUGAAAAUAGCCAACUUGAGCGUUACUUUCUGAUUCACCCUUAAUUGGGUCACAGGUUCAUGUCAUCAUUCUAAAUGCCCCAAUGUCCUUGGUCAUAACAUAAAGGUGUUUAUCACAAAGACAAUCAACUGUCACAUAAACUGUUGUUUGUUGGUAGUAGUAACUCAGAGAAGGAGUCUGUAAUAGAUUCUUCAUGACUGACAAGCACCGUCUGCAAUGUGUUCAGACCAAAUAGUAAUGGUGCGUGUACUAUGAGUUAAGUGUUAUUAAAAUGUAGAGAUUCUGUCACUAUAGGUGAUUUCUAAUUUUGGCUUUCCAUUGUGUUCAUCACAAGAUGUGGGAAGAUUUUGUAGCUAGGAGGAGAGAAAUGUGAAAUAAAUGAGCCAGCUAAGAAGAAUCUUCCUUCCUUCAUGUGACAUGACUAACAAUGUACUGUCCAAUACUCCUUUUGAUGCUUAUUGCUUUGACUGAAUGCCUCCCUCUAAGCCAGGUAACCAAGGAGACUGACUGAUUCUAAUAUUCUACUACGCAAGAGGCUGGUGGUCCUGAUGAAAAAGUACUACUAUAGAUGAGUCCACCCACAAGUAGGCUUGGUGCUGCCAAGAAGACUCUCUGGAGUUCUUGACACUUAGCUGUGUUUAGCUCACAGUCAGUGUGCAGAACCUGGGGUUUAAGGGAAUGGCAAAGAAUAAGAGAAUAAGGAAAAGUACCAACAUUUUAUUCAGAGAGCCCUGACUUCAGCAUUGUUUUAUAAAUAGUGAUUUAACAGAAGUUAAAAUUUGAUGCAUACAUGAAAUAUAUAUGUUACUAUACACUUGGAGCAAUGCAUACACACACACACAAAGUUCACUAUAAGAGUUGAUUGGCUUAGUAGAGUGCUGUCAUUGUCCUCUUAUGUCAGAAAUAAGAGGUAAGCUUUGAUGAGUCUGAAAUAGAUUAUUGGUGUUUCAUAACAGAAUUCCUACGUUGUAGCAUUGUUCAUAAAGACCAAACCUAAAUCAAGAGCCAAACUGAAGGCUCUUAGGAAAGAAUUUGGACUCUGAGUAGCAAUGACCUGAAAGGGAAAGGGAAUUUUCUUUGUGCUUUUGUUACUUUGACCCCACCUUUGUCAUUCAAACAUUCCUUCAAGAUUUUUGGAACACGUUGAUGCUUAGGGUAGUUUCUGGUCUUGUAAUAUCUUUCUUCAUUCUUCCCCCCCCUUUAGUCUCUAUCAUAUUUAACACAGUACAUGAAGUAAAUAGAUUUUCACAAUGGUCUGGUUGAUUAAGCAAGCCUUUUAAAAAUGAGUAAUUGAAAAUCCUGAUGUGAUACAGAUUGAAGUUUCUGUGUGA